rnacentral:sRNA from 1 species
GCUGGGUGCAGUGGUGCACAUCCGUAAUCCCAGCUACUUGGGAGGCUGAGGCAGGAGGAUUGCGAGUUUGAGGCAAGUCUGGGCAACUUAGCAAGACCCUUUCUCAA